GUCACAGGGCAUAGACUCUGAAAUGACUGCAGCAGGGACGGAUGGAUUUAAUAAUAGUCAGUGGGUCUCUGGGUACUAAGGAGGCCAAAUAUCCUUCUCUCACAGAGCUCAGCACUUCCUGCUUUCCCAGCAUCCAGAGUCCAGUGUGGAAGAUGGAGCCAUAAAGAGAUUACAAGGAUGGUAGAUCCUGGUGCUGUAUCAGACAAGAAGAGAGGAAUCUCAGAACUGCAUGGACCAAGUAGAACUCUGGGACCACAGGGAACUCAGAAUCCUUUGAUCUAUACAGGUCCAGACUGUGAAACAAAACUGUAAUUAAGAACUGGAGGGGCUGUGGCUAUGGAUCAGCAGUAGGGUGCUCGCAUAGCAUGUGUGAGGCACUGGGUUCGAUCCUCAGCACCACAUUAAAAUAAAUAAAUAUUGGGCUGGG